rnacentral:rRNA from 1 species
AACGAACGCUGGCGGCAUGCCUAACACAUGCAAGUCGAACGAGACCUUCGGGUCUAGUGGCGCACGGGUGCGUAACGCGUGGGAACCUGCCCUUAGGUUCGGAAUAACUCCCCGAAAGGGGUGCUAAUACCGGAUAAUGUCUUCGGACCAAAGAUUUAUCGCCUCUGGAUGGGCCCGCGUUGGAUUAGCUAGUUGGUAGGGUAAAAGCCUACCAAGGCGACGAUCCAUAGCUGGUCUGAGAGGAUGAUCAGCCACACUGGGACUGAGACACGGCCCAGACUCCUACGGGAGGCAGCAGUGGGGAAUAUUGGACAAUGGGCGAAAGCCUGAUCCAGCAAUGCCGCGUGAGUGAUGAAGGCCUUAGGGUUGUAAAGCUCUUUUACCCGGGAUGAUAAUGACAGUACCGGGAGAAUAAGCUCCGGCUAACUCUGUG